UGGGGGAUAUUGCACAAUGGGCGAAAGCCUGAUGCAGCGACGCCGCGUGGGGGAUGAAGGCUUUCGGGUUGUAAACCUCUUUCGCUAUCGAACAAGGCCCGCUUAGGGUGGGUUGAGGGUAGGUGGAGAAGAAGCGCCGGCUAACUACGUGCCAGCAGCCGCGGUAAUACGUAGGGCGCGAGCGUUGUCAGGAAUUAUUGGGCGUAAAGGGCUUGUAGGCGGCUUGUUGCGCCUGCUGUGAAAACGCGGGGCUUAACUUCGCGCGUGCAGUGGGUACGGGCAGGCUUGAGUGUGGUAGGGGUGACUGGAAUUCCAGGUGUAGCGGUGGAAUGCGCAGAUAUCUGGAGGAACACCGAUGGCGAAGGCAGGUCACUGGGCCAUUACUGACGAUGAGGAGCGAAAGCAUGGGUAGCGAACAGG
rnacentral:rRNA from 1 species